GAAAAGUUGUUAGAAGAGGAAGAAAAUUAUGCAUUAAAGUCACUCGUCUCAUUCCGGGGAAGAGAAAUCAGUUAUUUGAGGGGAUGACUCAGUGCUGAAGGAGACUUGGGUCGUGAAUGAGUUAGAAGCAUCCUCUGAAUCCCUGAAUACAGCCCCAUGUCUGGCCAAGGAAAUCAUAAAGAUUGUGCAUGCCAGAGGGCACUGUGACUCAGUCCAGUGAGGCUUAACGUGUAUUUGAAGUGUCUUCAGGCAAAGCAACUGGCUUCUGUAGGUUUUUUUUUUCUUUUUCCCCUAAGCAGCAAAGUAAACAAAGAUGCUCUGAGGCCAGAUGUGGUUGCCAGCUGUGAAUAUUUCUACCCUGGGACCUCAUCCUGACGUGAAUCACAGCCGAGUGGAAUCCAUUAAGGACACAGUCUGUCUCGAAUCCCAUCCCCUAGAUGUUUCCUGAAAACAUGAAGGGCCCCUAGACGGGGUGGAAGAUAUGAUCCAGACAGGCAGCCGGGACAAGAAUGAGAGAAUCGGGGCAGCUGGGGGAUCUUAACAAAGCCCAAGCUAAGUUAGUGGUCAGAGGACUCUAACACAGAGAAGGAAAUGAAAAAAUCCUGCUCCAGAGAGCACAGGUCAGCCCGUGGAGGAUAGAUGUUCAUAGGACGUGUCAUUGUGUUGUGGGCAAAGCCUGGCACGUUUCAGGCUCUCUCUUCAUGUGGGAAGGACGAUCAGCACAGGGGAAGGAAUGCCUAACGGCAGGGACAGGAUCAGGGUUCUAACUGCCUGAAAUGACCGAGAUAUGAAACUGAACAGAUACACGUCAAGCCAGGCCUGUCUGUUCACACAGUUGAUGGCAAAAGAGCAGCUUGUCAGAAAGCUGGCUUGGCAUCUGCUCAGGCGAUAAAGACCCGGGGGGUUAGAGGUGAGUUAAGGUCAUUCUGAAAUUGGGGUGACCUGCUGGAGGGAAUCAAAAGGAAACGAGAGCACACAAACCAGCAGUAGUCUGCGCUCAUUGGUAAGAACCGUGAGAGUCCUACUGUUACCUGUCUACACGGAUUACGUCCCACGUAUUGGAGCUGGGUCUGGUGAAACGUCACAGAGAAUCUUGAGAAGCAAGAAUGAUUUCAGAGACCAGAUCACUUUAUACUUAGACCCGGCACGUAUGGGGUGCCUGCUCCAUGCUGGCAGGCGGGAGUCUGAUAAACGUGCCAGACUUUAGGGUCUGAUCAAUAGGCCUUUUUAGGAGUGACUGAAGAAGACAGAGAUGUUCAGCCUGAAAAUGAGAUGAUUUAGGGAAAUGGGUUAAAUGCCAAACAGCAUUUAAUGGGAAAUGGGUUAAAUGCCAAACAGCAGUUUGAGAGCUGCCAUCCCAUAGAAGAAGGAGUCAUUGCAUUGUCUUUUGCUUUAGAGAAUAGCACGAAAGCCAGUAAGUGGACUUCCGGGAAGGCCAUAUUUGAUUAUAAAGAAUAUAUUUUAAAAUAUCCCAAUGUUGAGACUUUCUCCUAAUAGGUCUAUUGGAGUUAGAUUAUGGUAUGAUUUAUAGAGGAGUGGAGUCCCUCUGCCGUAACACUUAUGACAGAGGUUUCCUCUGUACCUUUCAGGAAUAUUCUGGAAGAGGUUGUCAUACUGGAUUAGACUACAUGUAAGACCCUUUUAUUGGGGAGAGAGGUAGGGAGGAAAUAACCUAAAGGAGACUCUGCAAUGGGAUGUGAGGUGAGGCAAUAGCUUAGUUUUGAAAUAUGUACAAUGGGAAUAAAACAAUCAAAUGGACUGGAAAGAAGAAUUCUUCCAUCAUUUGGGGAAAAUGUAUUCUCAAAGUCUGUCUAGAAUGUCAAACAGUGCUGUCCAUAUGCUGGAAGUUAAAUUAAGCCCUGCAUGCCCGGUGAGCUACUGUCCUGUUGUUUAAUUAAAAUGAUUUUUUAUUGUU